rnacentral:rRNA from 1 species
CCUACGGGAGGCAGCAGUGAGGAAUAUUGGUCAAUGGUCGGGAGACUGAACCAGCCAAGCCGCGUGAGGGAGGAAGGUACAGAGUAUCGUAAACCUCUUUUGUCAGGGAACAAAGGCGGGGACGUGUCCCCGGAUGAGUGUACCUGAAGAAAAAGCAUCGGCUAACUCCGUACCAGCAGCCGCGGUAAUACGGGGGAUGCGAGCGGUAUCCGGAUUUAUUGGGUUAAUGGGGUGCGCAGGGGGUGUGUUAAGUCAGCGGUAAAAGCCCGGGGCUAAACCCGGGCCCGCCGUUGAAACUGGCAGUCUAGAGUUGGAGAGAAGUAUGCGGAAUGCGCGGUGUAGCGGUGAAAUGCAUAGAUAUCGCGAAGAACUCCGAUUGCGAAGGCAGCAUGCCGGCUCCACACUGACGCUGAGGCACGAAAGCGUGGGUAUCGAACAGGAUUAGAUACCCCAGUAGUC